rnacentral:misc_RNA from 1 species
GAAAGUAAAAGUCGUAACAAGGUUUCCGUAGGUGAACCUGCGGAAGGAUCAUUAUUGUAUAACCGAGGUGCGAGGGCUGUCGCUGACCCGAAAAGUCGUGCACGCCCGAGUGCCCUCACACACAUCCAUCUCACCCCUAUGUGCACCACCGCGUGGGUCCCCCUUUGGCUUGUUCGGAGGGGGGCUUACGUUUUCACACAAACUUUGUAUGCAGUGUAGAAUGUAUUUUUUGUUUUUGCGAUCACGCAAUCAAUACAACUUUCAACAACGGAUCUCUUGGCUCUC